CCUUCCCAGGCGCUGUUGCCGGCAGGCGCCACCCUUGGCGAGAGCCCUGGUGGGCAGGGUGCGGCCACGGGUCUGGGGAGCUGGAACUCCCAGGAGGAUGGCUUAAGAAGGAUCUGUAAACCCCAGCAGCCCUGACAGGGCCUCACCUGGAGCUCGGCCCAGGACGCCCCUGGAAAGAGGUGUGGUGACGUGCGCGUCUCUGGAGGCCUGUGGCUUCCCUUCCAUUCUGCCGUGGCCUCAUUUCUCAGCCUCAGAGGGGAAAGCAAAGUCACUGAGUACCAGGAUGGAGGCGAUCUUGGGCAGCCUUCCGAACCACCCUCCUCCCAUUUAAUUGGACAUUUAAUGGCUCUUGAAAACUAAAAUGCCGUCUCCUCCAUGAAGGCUUCCAGGAUCAUUUCUGCUUUUGCACAUAAACAUCUAACCUGAAUUCCAGCAGGACGAACGGACCCUGGAUUCUGUAUCCUUGCUUUGUUGGAUGGGUUUGACUUGGUUCCCCACCCAGACCAUAUGGCUCUAGAGAGAGCAGGGACUUAAUAAAGUCACUUUACAGGAGCUUGAUACAAUUUACUGCUUAAGCAAGAGGAAGCCACCACCUCUCUCGACAGUGUUUCACUUUAUUCCCUCUAUGGGUGUUUUGCCAAACACCGGAUCUGAACAGAUGUCUACUUUUUUACCUUAAGCAAACUUUUCUCUCUUGCAUUUCCAUUUAACCCUAUUUCUUCUAUGUUGUUAUCCUUGAAAAUAUUGAAAAAUAUCCUAAUAAAUCGUUACAAACACUC